rnacentral:rRNA from 1 species
AUGGCGGACGCCAGCCCGCAGGCGGAGAGGCCGAGGCUGAGGCGCCUGGAGUUCGUGCGCGUGGUGUCGGUGCAGGCGGCCGUGUGCAUCGCGGCGCUCUACGCGCUCGCCAGGGACCACUCCGGCUCGCUCCGCCCCAGAGUCGACGCCGUCGAGUCCGCCGUCAGGCGCGUCGCCGGCCCCGUCGCCCGCCGCCUCCACGGCGUCCCCCUCCACGUCCUCGCCUUCGUCGACCGCAAGGUGGACGACGCGGUGCAUGAGCUGGGCCGGCACCUCCCGUCGGCGGUGAAGUCCGCGUCGGCGCAGGCGUCCCACGCGGUCCACGCCGUGCCGGAGCUGGCCAGGGAGAUCGCCGACGGGGCGAGGCGGUCCGGCGUGAAGGGCGUGGCCAAGGACGUGUACGGCAUGGUCCAGCCGGUGGCCAAGGACCUCUACGUGCGCUGCGAGCCGGUGGCCAAGGACCUGUACGCGCGCUACGAGCCGGCGGCCGAGCACCUCGCCGUCUCCGCCUGGCGCUCGCUCAACGGGCUGCCGGUGUUCCCGCAGGUGGCGCACAUCGUCGUGCCCACCGCCGCCUACUGGUGCGAGAAGUACAACAGGGUGAUCUCGUUCGCGGCCGGGCGGGGGUUCCCCGGCGCACGGUUCCUCCCCGGCAUCCCCAUCGAGCGCAUCGCCAAGGCGUUCGGGACGAACUCGGCCGGGGAGCGCUCGCCGGAUGCCAAGCCGACGGGACUUGAUGCCCAGACCUCCGAGGAGCGCUCGUCCGAUGCCAAGCCUAUGGGACUGGAUGCCCAGACCUCCUCCGAGGAGCGCUCGUCCGAUGCCAAGCCUAUGGGACUGGAUGCCCAGACCUCCUCCGAGGAGCGUUCGCCCGAUGCCAAGGCUGUGGGACCUGAUGCGCAGACCGGGGAGGAGAGCUCGCCGGAUGCCAAGCCUGUGGAAUCUGACGCCCAGACCGCCGGGGAGAGCCAGCCGGAGGCGGCCAAGCCUAUGGAUCUUGGGGCCCAGGCCUAG